GUGAGCCAGUCUCGUAUUGAUAGGGGUGGGUGCUCUCUUCCUGCCUCCACUUGGUGAAUGAAGCAUAGCACAGAGGAAUGAGAGUCCACAGGAAGCCUGUAGGGCAAACAUGGGGAGCCCUUUAAUUAUUCCAACAGACAGCAAAUUAUGCUCCCCUGGGCAAAGCCAAGGGAGAACCAUCUGCAGAGAGAACCCAAGGACUCUGGCUCCCAAGCAAGUCAAGAGGUAACUAACAUGCACCAGGCCUGGUGGCCCAUGUUUGUGAUGUCAUCGCUGGAGAGGCUGUGGCAAGACGGCAGAUUCCAGGAACAAGAAGUUGCCCACUAUACUUCAGAAUGUAGCUCGGUGGCCAAGAAAGAAAAGCCAGGCUCCACACUUGGUUCCUCUACUCAGCUUCACAACUAAUGAACCAUUUGUAACUGUGGCACCUCUCAAACAAAACCCCUGGCUCUGUGCAUUGCUUUGAAGCCCACUGCCACUGUACCCAUCACUGAAAUAAACCCAGUUCUCAAUA